rfam:Merops nubicus contig17803, whole genome shotgun sequence.
UAAAAGGCUUCUUUAGAAGCCUUUACAUUUUAAUGAAGCAUUUUU